rnacentral:rRNA from 1 species
CCUACGGGUGGCUGCAGUGGGGAAUAUUGGACAAUGGGGGGAACCCUGAUCCAGCCAUGCCGCGUGUGUGAAGAAGGCCCUCGGGUUGUAAAGCACUUUCAGUGAGGAAGAACGCCUGGUGGUUAAUACCCAUCAGGAAAGACAUCACUCACAGAAGAAGCACCGGCUAACUCCGUGCCAGCAGCCGCGGUAAUACGGAGGGUGCGAGCGUUAAUCGGAAUUACUGGGCGUAAAGCGCGCGUAGGUGGCUUGAUAAGCCGGUUGUGAAAGCCCCGGGCUCAACCUGGGAACGGCAUCCGGAACUGUCAAGCUAGAGUGCAGGAGAGGAAGGUAGAAUUCCCGGUGUAGCGGUGAAAUGCGUAGAGAUCGGGAGGAAUACCAGUGGCGAAGGCGGUCUUCUGGACUGACACUGACACUGAGGUGCGAAAGCGUGGGUAGCAAACAGGAUUAGAUACCCCAGUAGUC